rnacentral:rRNA from 1 species
UACGGAGGAGCCAAGCGUUGUCCGGAUUGACUGGGCGUAAAGCGCACGCAGGCGGUCGUGCGCGUGGGGUGUGAAAUCUGGCCGCUUAACGGCCAGGCGCCAUCCCAUACGGCACGACUGGAGGGCUGCAGAGGUCGAUGGAAUUGCCGGUGUAGUGGUGAAAUGCGUAGAGAUCGGCAGGAACACCCAGGGGGAAACCAGUCGACUGGGCAGCACCUGACGCUGAGGUGCGAGAGCGUGGGGAGCGAACCGG